rnacentral:rRNA from 1 species
UACAGAGGUCUCAAGCGUUGUUCGGAUUCAUUGGGCGUAAAGGGUGCGUAGGCGGCGCGGUAAGUCGGGUGUGAAAUCUCGGGGCUUAACUCCGAAACUGCAUUCGAUACUGCCGUGCUUGAGGACUGGAGAGGAGACUGGAAUUUACGGUGUAGCGGUGGAAUGCGUAGAUAUCGUAAGGAAGACCAGUGGCGAAGGCGGGUCUCUGGACAGUUCCUGACGCUGAGGCACGAAGGCCAGGGGAGCAAACGGG